rnacentral:lncRNA from 1 species
CGAGAUAUAGUGAUGUUGGUAUGCCACAGGAUCACAUGGUUGGCAAAGUUCAGCGUUGACUCAUCGAGAGUUUAGAUGUGUAUGCCAGUGAGUGAGAUUGAGAUGCUUUUAGGAGCAAGCUCAAACUUAAAGUAAUUGUGGUGUGCUUAGACUAUUGCCCCCAGCUUGUUGGUUAUUAUUUUUGGUUAUUGUUUGAUGU